ACGCUGGCGGCAGGCUUAACACAUGCAAGUCGAGCGGGGAGAGGUAGCUUGCUACCUAACCUAGCGGCGGACGGGUGAGUAAUGCUUAGGAAUCUGCCUAUUAGUGGGGGACAACAUCUCGAAAGGGAUGCUAAUACCGCAUACGUCCUACGGGAGAAAGCAGGGGAUCUUCGGACCUUGCGCUAAUAGAUGAGCCUAAGUCGGAUUAGCUAGUUGGUGGGGUAAAGGCCUACCAAGGCGACGAUCUGUAGCGGGUCUGAGAGGAUGAUCCGCCACACUGGGACUGAGACACGGCCCAGACUCCUACGGGAGGCAGCAGUGGGGAAUAUUGGACAAUGGGGGGAACCCUGAUCCAGCCAUGCCGCGUGUGUGAAGAAGGCCUUAUGGUUGUAAAGCACUUUAAGCGAGGAGGAGGCUACUUUAGUUAAUACCUAGAGAUAGUGGACGUUACUCGCAGAAUAAGCACCGGCUAACUCUGUGCCAGCAGCCGCGGUAAUACAGAGGGUGCAAGCGUUAAUCGGAUUUACUGGGCGUAAAGCGCGCGUAGGCGGCUAAUUAAGUCAAAUGUGAAAUCCCCGAGCUUAACUUGGGAAUUGCAUUCGAUACUGGUUAGCUAGAGUGUGGGAGAGGAUGGUAGAAUUCCAGGUGUAGCGGUGAAAUGCGUAGAGAUCUGGAGGAAUACCGAUGGCGAAGGCAGCCAUCUGGCCUAACACUGACGCUGAGGUGCGAAAGCAUGGGGAGCAAACAGGAUUAGAUACCCUGGUAGUCCAUGCCGUAAACGAUGUCUACUAGCCGUUGGGGCCUUUGAGGCUUUAGUGGCGCAGCUAACGCGAUAAGUAGACCGCCUGGGGAGUACGGUCGCAAGACUAAAACUCAAAUGAAUUGACGGGGGCCCGCACAAGCGGUGGAGC
rnacentral:rRNA from 1 species